GUUUUUCUUUUUGCUUAGGAAUUGGGUUUCGUUAUCCGUUUUUCUGUUCGCUUAGGAAUUGGGAAAUGGUUUCGUUAGGAAGGAAUUAAUGCGACCGGGAAUUUACGGGUUAUGAGAUUGUCACUAAUUUUCACACCGUUAAUUGUGAAGGGCGCCGCCUCUUGUUUGAUGAUAUCCCAUUAUUGUCAGCAGUCAUGGCAGUAGGCGAUGUAGCAGACAACUCGAUCGAUAACGUACAUGCCACAGAUUAUUGCAUUGACUGGUCGCCCUGGAUGCAGGCCUGCCCUGGUUCACUUCGUCUCCCAUAUCACCAAGAGCACAAGCCUUCUCAUAUGCGGCAGUGCUGAUCAUAAGUAAUCUGGGUGAGCAGAGUCCACAUUUGAUGGAGCUUCUAACAGACUCUCAGGAGAAAUGGGUGGAUGUUCAGAAGAUCAAGGCAUUCCCAGCCAUGGUAGCAAGCCCUACGCUAAGAACCGGGG